GCCAAGAGCCAGGGAGCGCCCAGCAUCCCGGCUGAAGGGAUUCUGCAGCGCUGCCUCUAUUAUUGUACCGUAAAUCUUCUUAAAUUCUGGAACUAAUUAUACAGAGGAUAUGUCUCAAUUUGUUCUGCAUUAAUGCCACAGCGGGGACGGAGGCCAGGCCGUGGCCCGAGCAAAGACGGAGGCCCAUGAAAUUGAUGAACUGAGAGUUUGCUUCCAGUCCUGCGCACUCCAUCUGGAAUUCCAGUCUGAGGUUACAAUUAGAACUCCUGACCCCAGAUUCAACUUUGCAAACAAC
ensembl:misc_RNA